CCUAAAUGUCUGUUAAUGAGUAAAUGGCUAAAAUGUGGCUUGUCCAUGCAUUGGAGCACUAUUCAGCCACAAAAAUGAAUAAGUCCAGAUCCAUGCCACACCAUGAAUGGGCCUGAAAACAUGCUGAAAGAAGCCAGAUAAAAGAUCACACGAUGUAAGAUUCUAUUCAUAGGAAAUAUCCAGGACAGGCCAAUCUAUAGAAACUGAAAGUAGAUUAUUGGUGCCAGAGGCCAGGAGAAAGGAAGGAUGGGAGAUGACUGCUAAUGAGUGGGAGGUUUCCUUUUGGAGUGAUGAAAAAUGUUCUGGAAAUGAAACAGCAGUGAUAGUUGCUGAACUGUGAAAAGACUAAAAGUCCCUGAGCUGUACAUCUUAAAAGAGCAAAUGUUUUAGCAUGUGAUUGACACCUCCCUAGUAACAGUAAACAGGGAGAAGAAAGUUGGUAAUAAAACUUUGGUAACAAAACAAUGAACAUUAUUCCUCCUGGCCAUAGCUGAUUAGACCAGGUGGCAACCAGUCUGUGGUUUAAACCCAGCCAGUCUGAUUCUCUCUGGCUGUGGCAUUGUGAUUAAAGCAGCUCUUUGUUCUCUGCAGGUGACUGGAACAGUAACCAUCCUGCUCAUGAGGAAGCCAGAAGAGUCUACAGAAGAGAAAAUGGAAGAGAUGGACAAAGAGCUACAGAGGUGAGUGAGGUUAAGAAAAGAGCCUCUGGGGAUUCUGCCGAGUUUUACAGUUCCUGUUUGCACUCCUGGCUCACCUUUGCCCUGGAGAUAACUCCUUAAUAAUAACAUAGACUUACUUAUUAUUUACUUACACUGGUACCUUUUGAAACUUGGAAUUAAAAAGACCACAUCUGUGGUGCUCGGAUCUAACAGAUGAAAAAUGUCACCAGAAGGUUUUAUAUAAUUAUAAUGCACCAAUAAAAAAUAUGGGAAAAAAAUGUCACCAGUAGUGUAGUCAUUAAAACAAAUGUUUAUAUGAAUGCAGGAAGUCAGAAUGAAAUGAGAGGCAUUUCCAGAGGCCACUAAGAGCAGCAAUAAAUAAACAAAUGGCCCAUAAAAAGAAUGAAGUCCCUAUAAAAAGCAGAGCAGAGAACUGUAAAAAGCUUAUCAGUCUAGGACCAUUUAGACCAUGAGAGGCCAGCAGAGACAGACCCAAGUGUUCAUAAGGCUUCAUUAGGUUGUAGAGCUUGGUAAGACUGAUGUGUGUUACAAUGGCUUUUAGCCAUAAAAGCCCAGUGAGAUCAUGUUCUUUGUUCCUGAAUGUCUUCACCAAAAAUUGUUUACAUGUUUAGGCAUUUAAAAAGGUAAGAUUCAUUUAUAUGGCAUACAGAUAUUGUGAAAUUUAUCAGUUUAUAACAUAAUGACAGAUGCAUGUGCAAAUAUAUGUGUACUUGUACAUCCAGAAAUAGAACAUCUCAAUAAAGAAUAAGGAGAUAGUAAAAGUGAGAAAUAUUUAAAAAUUUUAAUGUAUAUAUGAAUUCAAAUGCACUAAUUAAAAUGAUAAUAAUAGAAGGUAGAUUAGUAGAGAAGAAUAGGGA
rnacentral:lncRNA from 1 species